CGAAAAUUUGAUUGUACGAAUAGAAACAAACAAUUUUGUUCGAUAGAAGCUGACGAAUACGAACGAAGCAAGGGGGAAGCAAUGUAACCACACCAAUACAACUCAAUGUGGUUGUUUAGCUUCACUAUUGCAUACAAUUCGUACGACCACUUUUCAGCAUCCAGUGUCACCGCCGCCUAAGGGACCCUUAAGGCUGAUUUAGACGAUGCCAGUCAGCGCUCUAGUUGAAGUAUCCAGUGAAUAGAGAACAGACACUCUGUUCAAGUUAGAGGCCAAUUACUUGUUCGAUACUGGUACAAGUAACUUGGACAGAGAUUGCAACCUCCAAAAACGAAUAAGCUUAGUUCACUCAAAGAUAUUGACGUGGGAGCAAAAUUCGACAUUGGCGAAUUUCGUUCGGUACGUACAUAGCAAAAGUGAAAUGUCAUAAGGUAUCAAAACAUUUCACCGUGAAAAUGGACGGGACGUAACGUCGGCGAAAACAGUUUUGUUGGUGAAGCUGGACUUCAUAUAACAGCAAUCAGUGACAAAUUCUUUGCACAGUUAUCACUAUAAAGAACAACCUAUACCUGGAAACAAGAAAAAGCACUAAUCUUGGAAUAUUCUCGUUGGUGGGAGCCUGUGGAAACGCCUGUGGAAUAUAUUUAUUCAUGGAGUGACAGUUCUUGUGCUUUCCAACAUUCUUGAAUUCAAACAGAUAAAGGACAAAUCGGACGACACAGUAUAUAUACGUGUUGGAUUUGAUCGAAACUGUGUUUUCAAACUCCGAGUUAGUUCCAGGAUGUUAGUGUUAGGCUUUCGUUUUUCAAAAGGAUCAAACUACAACAAAAUUUCAAAGAUUCAAAGGAACUAGCUACCUUCAGCAAUAAUCAUCUUAUCAUUCGAUUUCCUUGAAUGACUAACGAGUUAUCUCAAAGAGUUGAAAGAUAAGAAUGUAAGAACUGAUUUACGUGUAUGGAACAUGCUCUAAAGUUUAAUUUUUGCGGUUGCAGGCAAAUAUCGUCCGGUGUUAGUAAUGGAACUUCAUUGAAAUGUGUUAUUAAAGAACUUUGUAUCGAUUUUCCAGAACAGUUUCAUCGGUAUCAGUAAAUAAAAUGCAUUGCACGAAGAUUAUGGGAAGUAGUAUUCAUAACAAUGCUAUUGCAGAUUUUCGGCGUAAAGGAAUAAUAUUUGAAUUCACAUCUAUAGAGCAAUUUUAUUAAAGUGUAUUGUAUCAUUGAACGCUUAUCAUUGGAGUUCAUGCAUGAAAAUUAGGCUUUAUUUAUUUUCUAGCAACAUCGUUGUAUCCAGAAAUCAAAUCUGUUAAGUUUCGCCGCUACUGCGAAAUUAUAAAAACACAUAAAAGAAAUCCAGGAUUCAGGCUAUCCAGCAGUUAAUAUUUUUCCGAACGGUAUAAAAACAAAUGAAGUCAGAGUCACGUAAAUGUUUACUCCUGCGAUUUGAAAAUAUUCGAUGAAAAGUGGAACGAAGAGAUGCUAGAUGGUUUUUAAAAAAAAAGACGGGUGGGUAAUGUCGGGGACAUAACCGGAGUGACGUAGGACUAUACAAAGGGAACAGCUUUUGUUAAAUAUAUAUUUAAAUAUA